rnacentral:rRNA from 1 species
GACGAACGCUGGCGGCGUGCUUAACACAUGCAAGUCGAACGGAAAGGCCCUGCUUUUGUGGGGUUCUCGAUUGGCGAACGGGUGUGUAACACGUGAGUAACCUGCCCUUGUCUUUGGGAUAACUUCAGGAAACUGGGGCGAAUACCGGAUAUGAGCUCCUGCUGCAUGUUGUGGGUUGGAAAGUUUCGGCUGUUGUGGAUGGACUCGCGGCUUAUCAGCUUGUUUGUGGGGUAGUGGCUUACCAGGGCUUUGACGGGUAGCCGGCAUGAGAGGGUGACCGGCGACAUUGGGACUGAGAUACGGACCAGAAUCCUACGGGAGGCAGCAGUGGGGAAUAUUGCACAAUGGGCGGAAGCCUGAUGCAGCAACGCCGCGUGCGGGAUGACGGCCUUCGGGUUGUAAACAGCUUUCGCCUGUGACGAAGAGUGCGUGACGGUAAUGGGUAAAGAAGCACCGGCUAACUACGUG